rnacentral:tRNA from 1 species
GCCAGUGUGGCUCAGUGGCUAGAGCAUCAGCCUGCAGACGGAAGGGUCCCGGGUUCAAAUCCCAUCAAGGGCA